AACGAACGCUGGCGGCAUGCCUAACACAUGCAAGUCGAACGAAACCUCCGGGUCUAGUGGCGCACGGGGGCGUAACGCGUGGGAACCUUCCCUUAGGUUCGGAAUAACUCCCCGAAAGGGGUGCUAAUACCGGACAAUGUCUUCUGACCAAAGAUUUAUCGCCUUUGGAUGGGCCCGAGUUGGAUUAGCUAGUUGGUAGGGUAAAAGCCUCCCACGGCGACGAUCCAUAGCUGGUCUGAGAGGAAGAUCAGCGACACUGGGAGGGGGACGCGGCCGAGAAUCUUCCGCGAGGCACCAGUGCCGAAUGGUGCAACGUGGGGGAAAGCAUGAUCCUCUACUGACGCGAGAGUGCUGAAAUCAUUAGGGUUGUAAAGCUCUUUUACCCGGGCUGAUCAUGACAGUACCGAAAGAAUAAGCCACGGCUAACUACGUG
rnacentral:rRNA from 1 species